rnacentral:rRNA from 1 species
AUUGAACGCUGGCGGCAUGCCUUACACAUGCAAAUCGAACGGCAACGCGCUUUGGGCUUCCGCCUACUGGUGGAGGGUUGCGUAAUACUUCGGAAUGUGUCCGAUCGUACUGUUUCAUGAGGCGUAACGUUUGCUAAUAUCCCCUACGAUCUCAUACGAAAAGCGGGGGACCGCAAGGGCUCUCGCGGACUUGCCCGCCUAUUUGAGCUGAUGUCGGAUUAGGUAGUUGGUGGGAUAAAGGCCUACCAAGGCGACGAUCCGUAGCUGGUCUGAGAGGAUGAUCAGCCACACUGGGACUGAGACACGGCCCAGACUCCUACGGGAGGCAGCAGUGGGGAAUUUUGGACAAUGGGCGCAAGCCUGAUCCAGCCAUGCCGCGUGCAGGAUGAAGGCCUUCGGGUUGUAAACUGAUUUUGUACGGAACGAAAAGCCGUCUUUUAAUACAGGAGUGUCAUGACGGUACCGUAAGAAUAAGCACCGGCUAACUACGUG